AGCGAACGCUGGCGGCAGGCCUAACACAUGCAAGUCGAACGAACCUUUCGGGGUUAGUGGCGGACGGGUGAGUAACACGUGGGAACGUGCCUUUAGGUUCGGAAUAACUCAGGGAAACUUGUGCUAAUACCGAAUGUGCCCUUCGGGGGAAAGAUUAAUCGCCUUUAGAGCGGCCCGCGUCUGAUUAGCUAGUUGGUUGAGGUAAUGGCUCACCAAGGCGACGAUCAGUAGCUGGUCUGAGAGGAUGAUCAGCCACAUUGGGACUGAGACACGGCCCAAACUCCUACGGGAGGCAGCAGUGGGGAAUCUUGCGCAAUGGGCGAAAGCCUGACGCAGCCAUGCCGCGUGAAUGAUGAAGGUCUUAGGAUUGUAAAAUUCUUUCACCGGGGACGAUAAUGACGGUACCCGGAGAAGAAGCCCCGGCUAACUUCGUGC
rnacentral:rRNA from 1 species